AAACAUUGCUUAUUCAAUGAUUAUCAAAUGGCUACAAGGUGUUAGCUCUCUCCAGAUCUACUAUAUGAGCACUGUGAAAUAAGGAGCAAGGUUAUCAGCUAAGAGUGUCUGUGACGGUGUUACAGGUGAAGGUGGGGAAGUAUGGCAUCAUCACCUUGAAGAUUGCAUGGAAAAGCAGCCUCAACACCUUCCCUUGCUAUAAAGUUAUACAAACAGUGUGAAGAAAAGGUUGCGCAGGAUGUCGGGAGCCCUAUCCGACACCCUCCUACCUUACAGGGAGAUUGCCUGCACUCCAUGAUGCUGUCCACUAACUGAGGAUGGAUAAAUCUGUAUCAAGCUGAAAAACAAAAUGAAUAUUAAAAUUAAUACACUAUAAUCUCUGUGAGAGGUAAAUAAUCAAAAUUAAGGCUUCAUGGACUUGUCAUUACUAUCUGAUAAAAAUAAAAUUUUCAUCAUAGGUAAAGGGAG